GAGAAAGAAAUCCGCCCCGAGAUGCACCUGCAGCCCCGCGCCCAUCCGUGCAUGGCUGCGGCUGUGCGUGCCCGCGAACGGGGACCAGCGGCCGCCGAGUCCGUCCACAUCGCCAGGCCAGGAGUCAGAACAAGGACGGGCCUGUGAUGUGUCUGUCUAUGACGACAAGGACAAUGUCCUGAGGAACGGAGAGGAAGAAAGUGAAGGGAACCAGGUCCCCGGAUUCCAUGUGGAACAGUAGCCCAGGAUGCGCACUAUGGACUGUUACAAGAGAGAGACAUGAUCUUCCUUAAGGCAUUGAUUUGUCAUGGGUCUCUUUGUUAUAGCCACUUAACGUUACCUUAAUACACCCACUUCAUGGAUAAGUAAAACUGAGGCUUGGAGAAGCCCACAUUGACACAGCAAAGAAGGCUGGGGCUCUUGUGCUGGUUAAAUGGACCUUGAUGUCUUCCAAAUGUUUUCCUGCUGGAUUCUGAGCCACUCUCCUGGCUGCAACUCUGAGGCUGGGCAGACUUUCCGCUGGAAAGAGAACUCAAAUACUGGUGAGAGGUGGAUUUGAAGCCAGGAGCCCCAGGUUUUGGCUCUGCAGGUUUGCACCCAGCUCUGUGGUGUAUGCCCUCACAGGUCACCCA
rnacentral:antisense_RNA from 1 species